rnacentral:rRNA from 1 species
GAUGAACGCUAGCUACAGGCUUAACACAUGCAAGUCGAGGGGAAACGACAUCGAAAGCUUGCUUUUGGUGGGCGUCGACCGGCGCACGGGUGAGUAACGCGUAUCCAACCUGCCCACCACUUGGGGAUAACCUUGCGAAAGUAAGACUAAUACCCAAUGAUAUCCCACGAAGGCAUCCGAAUGGGAUUAAAGAUUUAUCGGUGAUGGAUGGGGAUGCGUCUGAUUAGCUUGUUGGCGGGGUAACGGCCCACCAAGGCGACGAUCGGUAGCCGGACUGAGAGGUUGAACGGCCACAUUGGGACUGAGACACGGCCCAGACUCCUACGGGAGGCAGCAGUGGGGGAAUAUUGCACAAUGGGGGAAACCCUGAUGCAGCGACGCCGCGUGGAGGAAGAAGGUCUUCGGAUUGUAAACUCCUGUUGUUGAGGAAGAUAAUGACGGUACUCAACAAGGAAGUGACGGCUAAACUACGUG